AUCUUUUCCUCCCUCAAAAGCGUGAUGACUGGAUUUUCACAUGUAUGUGUGAGAUGUGCCUCCCUCAGACCUUGUUAUGAUGUUGGCAUAUUAACUGUUUAAUA
ensembl:snoRNA